rnacentral:rRNA from 1 species
AUUGAACGCUGGCGGCAGGCCUAACACAUGCAAGUCGAGCGGAUGAAGGGAGCUUGCUCCUGGAUUCAGCGGCGGACGGGUGAGUAAUGCCUAGGAAUCUGCCUGGUAGUGGGGGAUAACGUCCGGAAACGGGCGCUAAUACCGCAUACGUCCUGAGGGAGAAAGUGGGGGAUCUUCGGACCUCACGCUAUCAGGUGAGCCUAGGUCGGAUUAGCUAGUUGGUGGGGUAAAGGCCUACCAAGGCGACGAUCCGUAACUGGUCUGAGAGGAUGAUCAGUCACACUGGAACUGAGACACGGUCCAGACUCCUGAGGGAGGCAGCAGUGGGGAAUAUUGGACAAUGGGCGAAAGCCUGAUCCAGCCAUGCCGCGUGUGUGAAGAAGGUCUUCGGAUGGUAAAGCACUUUAAGUUGGGAGGAAGGGCAGUAAGUUAAUACCUUGCUGUUUUGACGUUACCAACAGAAUAAGCACCGGCUAACUUCGUG